GACGAACACUGGCGGCGUGCCUAACACAUGCAAGUCGAGCGGGGCGAGGUUUUCGGAUUUCUCUUUAGCGGCGGACGGGUGAGUAACACGUGGGUAACCUGCCUCAAAGAGGGGGAUAGCCUUCCGAAAGGAAGAUUAAUACCGCAUAAUAUCAGGAAGCUGCAUGGCAUUCUGAGUAAAGGAGCAAUCCGCUUUGAGAUGGACCCGCGGCGCAUUAGCUAGUUGGUGAGGUAACGGCCCACCAAGGCGACGAUGCGUAGCCGACCUGAGAGGGUGGUCGACCACAUUGGAGGAGAGACACGGUCCAGACUCCUACGGGAGGGAGCAGUGGGUAGAAGUGCACAGUGGGGGCAACCCUGAUGCAGGAACGCCGGUAGAGUGAUGAAGGCGUGCGGGUCGUAAAGCUCUGUGGUCAGGGACGGUAAUGACGGUACCUGAAAAACAAGCAGCGGCUAACUACGUGCCAGCCGCCGCCGUAAGAC
rnacentral:rRNA from 1 species